CCUACGUGAGGCAGCAGUGAGGAAUAUUGGUCAAUGGUCGGGAGACUGAACCAGCCAAGCCGCGUGAGGGAGGAAGGUACAGAGUAUCGUAAACCUCUUUUGUCAGGGAACAAAGACUGGGACGCGUCCCCGGAUGAGUGUACCCGAAGAAAAAGCAUCGGCAAACUCCGGGCCUGCAGCCGCGGUAAUACGGAGGAUGCGGGCGUUAUCCGGAUUUAUGGGGUUGAAAGGGGGUGCAGGCGGUCUGUAAAGCCAGCGGUCAAAGCGCGGGGCUCAACCCCGGCCCGCCGUUGAUACUGGCAGUCUAGAGUUGGAGAGGGGUAUGCGGAAUGCGCGGUGUAGCAGUGAAAUGCAUAGAUAUCGCGAAGAACUCCGAUUGCGAAGGCAGCAUGCCGGCUACAAACUGACGCUGAGGCACGAAAGCGUGGGUAUCGAACAGGAUUAGAUACCCGAGUAGUC
rnacentral:rRNA from 1 species